rnacentral:rRNA from 1 species
UGCAGUCGAGCGACAGAUAAGGAGCUUGCUCCUUUGACGUUAGCGGCGGACGGGUGAGUAACACGUGGAUAACCUACCUAUAAGACUGGGAUAACUUCGGGAAACCGGAGCUAAUACCGGAUAACAUAUUGAACCGCAUGGUUCAAUAGUGAAAGGCGGCUUUGCUGUCACUUAUAGAUGGAUCCGCGCCGUAUUAGCUAGUUGGUAAGGUAACGGCUUACCAAGGCAACGAUACGUAGCCGACCUGAGAGGGUGAUCGGCCACACUGGAACUGAGACACGGUCCAGACUCCUACGGGAGGCAGCAGUAGGGAAUCUUCCGCAAUGGGCGAAAGCCUGACGGAGCAACGCCGCGUGAGUGAUGAAGGUCUUCGGAUCGUAAAACUCUGUUAUCAGGGAAGAACAAAUGUGUAAGUAACUGUGCACAUCUUGACGGUACCUGAUCAGAAAGCCACGGCUAACUACGUGCCAGCAGCCGCGGUAAUACGUAGGUGGCAAGCGUUAUCCGGAAUUAUUGGGCGUAAAGCGCGCGUAGGCGGUUUUUUAAGUCUGAUGUGAAAGCCCACGGCUCAACCGUGGAGGGUCAUUGGAAACUGGAAAACUUGAGUGCAGAAGAGGAAAGUGGAAUUCCAUGUGUAGCGGUGAAAUGCGCAGAGAUAUGGAGGAACACCAGUGGCGAAGGCGACUUUCUGGUCUGUAACUGACGCUGAUGUGCGAAAGCGUGGGGAUCAAACAGGAUUAGAUACCCUGGUAGUCCACGCCGUAAACGAUGAGUGCUAAGUGUUAAGGGGGUUUCCGCCCCUUAGUGCUGCAGCUAACGCAUUAAGCACUCCGCCUGGGGGAGUACGACCGCAAGGUUGAAACUCAAAGGAAUUGACGGGGACCCGCACAAGCGGUGGAGCAUGUUGGUUUAAUUCGAAGCAACGCGAAGAACCUUACCAAAUCUUGACAUCCUUUGACCGCUCUAGAAGAUAGAGUCUUCCCCUUCGGGGGACAAAGUGACAGGUGGUGGCAUGGUUGUCGUCAGCUCGUGUCGUGAGAAGUUUUGGGGUUAAGUCCCCGCAACGAGCGCAACCCUUAAGCUUAGUUGCCAUCAUUAAGUUGGG